rnacentral:misc_RNA from 1 species
GAACGCAUAUUGCACUUUCUGGUAUUCCGGAAAGUAUGCCUGUUUGAGGGUCAGUUAAAUAAAAAUCGGUGUUGUUGCUGCCUUUCGUGGUGACGCGUCGGAACUGAGUCGUCUUACCUUCGGUUAAGUGACUUAAAAUUUUGCAUGAUUUUCGAACGUAUUUAAAUUUUUUUUGUACGUUUGAGAUAUCGAAUGUUUUAUUAGGUUCGGUCGUCCUUAUGAUUCGCGCCUAUAAUUUUUUCAUUAAAUGACCUCAAAUCAGGUAAGAAUACCCGCUGAACUUA